AGGAGGAACAAUCCCAGUGGCUGCGGCAGCUCUGGAAACCUGGAUUCAGCUCCCGCAGGAACUACUCCCGUCUGCAGGGCCUGGAGGCUCCGGGGCGGG
rnacentral:pre_miRNA from 1 species